ACCCACACAUGCAUACACACUACGCAUGUACAGACAGAGACACUAUAGACAUACGCAUACAGUAUGUUGAAUGCACCCACACACAUAGAGCACGUACCGGUAUCAGGGUGAUCUGGCGGGGCGGCGGCCCGUGCGGUGUGGCUGCUGCAGGCAGAGUGUCUGUCUGUUCCCUGGGAGCUGAAUCAGCGACGGAGAGUUUAGGGAUGCAGAGAGGAGAGGAGGGUCAUGGGAGAUGUUGCUUUUCUCACACCGGAUGGGAGGAAGAGGAUGAGAGGAGGAAAAAAAGACCAAAAAGAACCAAUGCGCCACACAUCCUGAGGUCACCGCAACGCAGGGCCUGUAUCAACCUCCAAAGUACGGAUACAAAAAAAUGAAUGUGUCGAUCCCAUCACAGGGAGACUUCAGAGGCAAAAGGGUUGAGAAGAGAAAAAGUAAGCAAAACAUUUCUAAAACAAUACCCUGUCAGCUGACGAUGCUCUGGAGGAGUGGAUGAAGACAUAAGCAUUGAUUUUGAAAUGAAAAGUGGAAAGGUGGACUUCAGAACGCGACGGACCAUCUCUGGGAGAGAAUGGAAGGGCAGCGUGAUCGGAGUAACCCCCCACCGUCCAGGGGCUUAUAUACCCAGCGUUGAGGGGCGGAGCAGUGAAGGUCAACCCAGUGAGUCAGUGACUCUGCAGGAUGUGCUAUUGACUCAACGGAGAGAGACGGUGGCAUCCCCUCCCUGGUGUGGUUGGGCAGGUCCAGGACCACUUUGGGAUGUGCUUACCUCAGUGGUGUCCCGGAAUAGAAUGGGCAAGAUCCCCAGAUAGCUCAACUCUGAUAGAGAGCAUGGGGAACUCUCUGACAGAGUGCAGAC
rnacentral:lncRNA from 1 species